GAUGAACGCUGGCGGCGUGCCUAAUACAUGCAAGUCGAGCGAACGGACGAGAAGCUUGCUUCUCUGAUGUUAGCGGCGGACGGGUGAGUAACACGGGGAUAACCUACCUAUAAGACUGGGAUAACUUCGGGAAACCGGAGCUAAUACCGGAUAAUAUUUUGAACCGCAUGGUUCAAAAGUGAAAGACGGUCUUGCUGUCACUUAUAGAUGGAUCCGCGCUGCAUUAGCUAGUUGGUAAGGUAACGGCUUACCAAGGCAACGAUGCAUAGCCGACCUGAGAGGGUGAUCGGCCACACUGGAACUGAGACACGGUCCAGACUCCUACGGGAGGCGGCAGUAGGGAAUCUUCCGCAAUGGGCGAAAGCCUGACGGAGCAACGCCGCGUGAGUGAUGAAGGUCUUCGGAUCGUAAAACUCUGUUAUUAGGGAAGAACAUAUGUGUAAGUAACUGUGCACAUCUUGACGGUACCUAAUCAGAAAGCCACGGCUAACUACGUGCCAGCAGCCGCGGUAAUACGUAGGUGGCAAGCGUUAUCCGGAAUUAUUGGGCGUAAAGCGCGCGUAGGCGGUUUUUUAAGUCUGAUGUGAAAGCCCACGGCUCAACCGUGGAGGGUCAUUGGAAACUGGAAAACUUGAGUGCAGAAGAGGAAAGUGGAAUUCCAUGUGUAGCGGUGAAAUGCGCAGAGAUAUGGAGGAACACCAGUGGCGAAGGCGACUUUCUGGUCUGUAACUGACGCUGAUGUGCGAAAGCGUGGGGAUCAAACAGGAUUAGAUACCCUGGUAGUCCACGCCGUAAACGAUGAGUGCUAAGUGUUAGGGGGUUUCCGCCCCUUAGUGCUGCAGCUAACGCAUUAAGCACUCCGCCUGGGGAGUACGACCGCAAGGUUGAAACUCAAAGGAAUUGACGGGGACCCGCACAAGCGGUGGAGCAUGUGGUUUAAUUCGAAGCAACGCGAAGAACCUUACCAAAUCUUGACAUCCUUUGACAACUCUAGAGAUAGAGCCUUCCUCUUCGGGGGACAAAGUGACAGGUGGUGCAUGGUUGUCGUCAGCUCGUGUCGUGAGAUGUUGGGUUAAGUCCCGCAACGAGCGCAACCCUUAAGCUUAGUUGCCAUCAUUAAGUUGGGCACUCUAAGUUGACUGCCGGUGACAAACCGGAGGAGGGUGGGGAUGACGUCAAAUCAUCAUGCCCCUUAUGAUUUGGGCUACACACGUGCUACAAUGGACAAUACAAAGGGCAGCGAAACCGCGAGGUCAAACAAAUCCCAUAAAGUUGUUCUCAGUUCGGAUUGUAGUCUGCAACUCGACUACAUGAAGCUGGAAUCGCUAGUAAUCGUAGAUCAGCAUGCUACGGUGAAUACGUUCCCGGGUCU
rnacentral:rRNA from 1 species